rnacentral:rRNA from 1 species
GAAACGAACAGGCUUAAAUACCGGAUAGGAGCCCACGCUGCAAACGGUGGGGACUAGAUGUGAAGUCCAUUCCACGGGUUCCGCGACGGAGCUAACGCCUUAAGCACCCCGCCGGGGGAGUACGGCCGCAAGGCCAAAACUCAAACGAAUAGACGGGGCCCCGAAAAAGCGACCGACCACAUGCGGACUAAUUCGAUACAACCCGUAGAACCCUACCUGGGAUUGACAGCAAUCGGGAAUACUCAAAAAUGGGCGGAACCCUGAUGCAGCAACGCCACAGGCGGGGCAUGACGGCCGUCAGCUCGUGUCGUAAAACGCUGGGUUAAGUCCCGCAACGAAGCGCAACCCACGGUAACGGGUACCAACAAGCAACGGCGAGGACUAAGUGCAAACAGCCGCGGUCAACACGGAGGAAGGUGCGAACGACGUCAAGAUUCAUCAGGCCCCUUAUGUAAAGGGCUUCACGCAGGCUACAAUGGAUCGCACAGAAAGUGGCAAGCCUGGGGCUUAACCCUGAGCGAACCUCCGAAAGCCGGGCUCACUUCAGAAAGGGAGCGGAAAAUCGAACUCAUGAAGUCGGAGUCGCUAGAAAGCGCAGAUAUCAGGAGCAACACCAGCGGCGAAGACGGUUCCCGGGGCCUGUACACACCGCCCGCCAAGUCAUGAAAGUUGGUAACACCCGAAGC